AACAGAAUCUUCAUCAUUACACAAGACAAAACAACAACAAUGAACAACAUCAUCAUCCUCAUCUGGACUCUCUGUAUAUGUAUUCCAGGUUUCAGUGGGCAGGUGACUGUGACUCAGACUCCCUCUGUUAAAACAGUUCAGAUUGGUGAAUCAGUCACUAUAAACUGCAAAACAAACACAGCAGUGGGCAACUGUUAUAGUCAAUAUACUUGUAUGGCCUGGUACCUGCAAAAACCUGGAGAAGCUCCUAAACUCUUGAUUCAUUCUGCAAAUCGAAGGGAAUCAAACACACCAUCUAGAUUCAGUGGCAGUGGAUCUGACAGUGAUUUCACUCUGACCAUCAGUGGAGUCCAGACUGAAGAUACAGGAGAUUAUUACUGUCAGAGUUACCAUUACAUUGACAGUAAAUAUGUGUUCACACAGUGA